ACUUGACCUCAAAUCAGGUAGGAUUACCCGCUGAACUUAAGCAUAUCAAUAA
rnacentral:rRNA from 1 species